AAGUGGGUGUGAUUUUCUUCCCUAGCAUCCCACCCCAAUUUGUCCACAUUUCUUAUCUUCUUUUGUGCCCCAAAAGUCUUCUCCUUAUCCUAUUUUGCUGGCUGCCUCAGAUCAGAAAGUCCAGCAGCUCCUUUUUCUUCUUUCUCUAUUCCUCUUUCUCUCUUCUUGUUUCUUUCUUCUCCCCUUCUUACACGGCAACCUUCUCUCCCUCACCAAGACAAAAUAUUCCUCUCUAAAGAAGAAAUUAAAGGGUUAACACUAAAAUUUCAGCUUCAAAUUGUUGGGAUGCACAGGUUCUUCCUGGAAGCAGCGAGAGUAUUAGAGGUGGCAAGGAUUCUGUGUUUUCUCGUUUGUUAGAAUGUAGAGUUUUGUUGUAUAGCAGUUAGCUCUUUUGUUGUAUAGAAGGAAUCAAGAUGUACUUGAUCCUUUGAGCAUAGAUGUAAUUCGGUACCUUAGUUUGUUUUGAACCCCAGUUGUAUGUCUUUGGUGUUAGGUUUGUAAUAAGAGUUUUGCUAAACAUUUAGCUAUGUAAUAUUUACUUGAAUACCUUAAGUUUCAAUCAGGUGGUAUAUUUCCAAGUUUGAAGGAAAUGAAAUUUCAGGGUUGCCAUCA